rnacentral:rRNA from 1 species
UACGUAGGGUGCAAGCGUCAAUCGGAAUUACUGGGCGUAAAGCGUGCGCAGGCGGUUCCGCAAGUCAGAUGUGAAAUCCCCGGGCUCAACCUGGGAAUGGGAAUGGAUACUGGCUCGCUAGAGUGUGAUAGAGGAUGGUGGAAUUCCCGGUGUAGCGGUGAAAUGCGUAGAGAUCGGGAGGAACAUCAGUGGCGAAGGCGGCCAUCUGGAUCAACACUGACGCUGAGGCACGAAAGCGUGGGGAGCAAACAGG